ensembl:miRNA Gm24272 predicted gene, 24272
CAGGACCAGCACAGACUGGCGCACCCUAGGGAUCUCUGGGUGAGUAUCUCUUUGAGCACCUCACUCUCAAGCACGACUAGGAGAUCUCUGUGCCUUCC